AUUGAACGCUGGCGGCAGGCCUAACACAUGCAAGUCGAACGAGUGGCGGACGGGUGAGUAAUUUCUGGGAAACUGCCUGAUGGAGGGGGAUAACUACUGGAAACGGUAGCUACUACCGCAUACCAUCAGAUGUGCCCAGAUGGGAUUCGCUUGUUGGUGAGGUAACGGCUAACCAAGGCGACGCUCCCUAGCUGGUCUGAGAGGAUGACCAGCCACACUGGGACUGAGACACGGUCCAGACUCCUACGGGAGGCAGCAGUGGGGAAUAUUGCACAAUGGGCGCAAGCCUGAUGCAGCCAUGCCGCGUGUAUGAAGAAGGCAUUCGGGUUGUAAAGUACUUUCAGCGGGGAGGCGUUACCCACAGAAGAAGCACCGACUAACUCCGUGCCAGCAGCCGCGGUAAUUC
rnacentral:rRNA from 1 species